CUUAUCCUGAAACCAAGCUUAAUCUCAGGAUUAUUUACCUGUAAAUAUAGUUUAAUAAAACACUAGGCUGUGACCCUA
rnacentral:tRNA from 1 species